CGCUACUUACUACACUUUCCGGCUUCUGUUAAAAUAAGGUGGCCUGUGAAGUCUAUAAAGGGAAUCAAUCGCUAAAAAAAACAAUUUGGCUAGUUUUAUAGUCAAAUUGAUGAGUUAUAGUUGUAUAAGUGGCGACUAGCGGCAAGGUGAGGGUGUUGUGUGGAGUAAACAGGAGAGUGGGAGGCUGAGGCGGCUGUCUUCCCUCCAUCCUUGUGUCAUCUUGCAGCAACCCUCCUCUCUAACUACCUACACUAAGACUACCAACACACGGGUUUGGUACUAAAAUCUAUCUUCAGUCAUAAAGAAGAGGAACAACAUGACUUGCAUUUGCAUUUUUGAUGGUCAAGUGGCAUCUGUUCAUGACAGCUUGUGAAUGUUGUUAACAAUUUAGGAGAUACAGAAUGCUGUUGAUUACCAAGAUAAGGACUGGAAGAACAUAGGGCAAAGGAUUUGAAAAUUGAAGUGUGUUCAGUAUAUAUCUGCUGCAGUGCAUAUAAAAGACACAGCUGAUCUUCAGCAGCACUAAGGUCAAGUGGAGCAGUAAGGCAAAUCUUAUUCCAAGAAUUGUCAUACAAUACAGUAUAAUGGAAGAAGGAAAUGCAUUCCCGUGUGAGGAUUGUAAUCAACAGUUCUCUUUUCAGUGGGAAUAUAGGAGACAUAUGUUGGAACACACAUGUUAUAGAAUCUUUGCAUGUGAGGUAUGUGACAAGGUAUUUACAAAUUCUUGGGUUCUUAGCAUACAUAUGCUAUUGCAUAGUGGCAGGAAGAAGUUUAAGUGUGGAAAAUGUAAAGAACUUUUUACAUCAAGAACAAGUCUUGGAAAACACAUGCUUGUGCACACAGGCAAUGAUAAAAGUUUUGUGUGUGAAGAAUGCAAUGAACGGUUCAGCUGUAAGAGCCAUCUCAAGAAGCACAUGGAAGCACAUUUAAAAAAAUAUAAAUGUGAAAAAUGUGACAGGCAAUUUAGACGAGAAAAUGCCUUCAAGAUGCACGCGUGCUUUCCAACUAGAAAGGUUAAUUGUGAGGUCUUAUCUGAGGAGACACGUAUGUCCAGUGUAGUGUCUGAAGAUGGAGAUGAAAGUAAUGAGAAGCUUUUUGAAUGUAAUGAAUGUGGAGAAGUAUUCACUGAUAAGAAGUACAUUAGGGAACAUGUACUUGUUCAUUUUCAUGAUGGAAAUUUUGAAUGCAAUGAAUGUGGAAAAUUAUUCAGCAGUAAGGAGCAUAUGAAGCAACAUAAGUUGACUCAUAAUAGUAAACAAAAAAUUCCAUGUAAAGUGUGCGGAAAACUCUUCACUCAUAAAAAAUACGUAAAGGCACACAUGGCUGUUCAUGGCAAGAUAAACAAAUAUUAUGGAAAGAUUGGCAAAGGAAUAAUUUCAAGAAAAAGUUCUCAGGGUACUUCAUACUCAAAAAAAUAAAUUGCGUGUGAAGUUUGGAAUAAGUUACUAGUGACAUAAAACAUCAUGUAUAUAAAGAACAAUUAAGGACACUUAAGACAAGCUGUAUCACACAGGAUUCAGGUGACAUACAACCGGGAGAGCGUAGCAGGAGCCAACAACUGUGAUAAAUACCACUUUAGUUACUCAUUUGCUGAUGCAAAUUGGAUCUUGUAAAGUUGCAAGCUUAGAUCAGUUGGUGUUGUAAGAUAUGUGAGUAAGACUGCAGUCAUGAAAAAUAGGCAACAGAAAACAGUGAAGAUGAUGAUUGAUGUUUUAAGCAAACAGAUUUUAGGUACAGUUUUCAUUAAAUGCAGUUGUUUGGAUAUUGUGAAGCUGGUGAGGUUCUUAGACAAGGAGUUUAGGAGUAGAUAAGUACAAGGAGAAGGAAUAUGUUUGCUUAGAGCUUUAAUCUAAAAUAUAGCCUAUAGUUAGAACAGAAUAGUUGGCAGUACAGUGGUGCAAAGGAAUUCAUGUGGAAGUGAAUGAGAUUAAGAAUGGACUGUGUGAGGAAUUGUAAAGGAAAUACAAGAUGCUUGAGGAAGACUGUUGGGAAUAUGAGAAAUGUAGAGUAAUCUGGUGCAUGAAACAAGAAAAAUUAGAGGGUCCAACAUUAUUUGAGUUAAUCUUAACACCAGGCUGGAAUGUUCACGAACAAAAUGGUAUGUUUAUACUCAAAUGUACAAUCGUGUCUCAAAUGAAAUUUGGUUCAGUUGAAAUCAAGAUGAAAUGAAAGGAUCAACAGUUAAUUGAGCUUUUAUCUGGGUUACGUAGGUUAUAUGUCUGGAUUAAGAAGGAAGUACUGUACAGAUACAGUAGCUAGUUGGGAUUUGUGGUGCCAAUAAACAUAAAAAUAUAAACCAAAAAAAUUCAUAUUCUAGUACAGUAUGUUAGAAAUAUUUUUGUAUGUAAUUUAUGUAUCAAAAUGUGCAAAUAUGUGUUCUCAAAUUUUGCUAGUAAUUAAUUGACACAAUUCCUGUGACUGCUAAUAGAGCAAUUUGUGCAAUGUAAGCACUGGUUACAAAAAAUACAGUAAGAUUUAAUGCAGCCAGAGGCCUACAUGUAGGAAUAGCAAUGCCAAGUCUUACGUAUGAUUGGAAGAUGAUGUGCUAUAAAUAUAAAAAUGAAUAGAAGUGGAUAACUUAAGAGUCAUGUGUGGUGUUAGGAUAGUAUAUAGAAUAAGAAAUGAAACUGCCAUGGAUAGAUGUGCAAUGCUAAAAUUAAUAAACUGCAAGAUUGAAGAGAGUAUUCUGAGGUGGUUUGAGCAUGUUGAACGAAUGAUAGAUAGGUGAACAGUGCAUUUGAGAGUUUGUGGGUAAAGCGAGAGAAAUACCUGGAAGGAGAUGGGCAGACACAGUGAACAAGUGUGGCCAACACACGAGAUAUGGGUGCAAAAUGUUUACGAGAAGUGACCUUUCCCCGCUAAUCUCCAUGAUGGCUAUGUUGUCACAGUGAUGGUCCUUGGGUGCUUUGUUUGAGCUUAGUAGGCUCUAUUGGCGAGUGCCUUCGAGUGCCUGCUGGGGGAGAAGCAGGACCAAAACUGUAUGUAGUUUUGACAUGCAUAUGUUUGACAUGGAGACCCAUAUGGUUCUCAUUUCACUUCAAUUGAAAGUUGAACCUUCUCAGUGGCUGUGGCUCAUGGAAGGGCAACGUACUUCUUUGGUGAAAAGAAGGAUAAAAUUUUAAGUUCAGUGGUUUUCCACUGAAUCAGUCUGCUAGUCUUGCAAGAGGGCCUUGCUGGACUUGAGUCCAAUGGGUCGUUACAUAUCAAUUGCCUGCAAACUGAAUUCUCCAAGACCCCUUACCUUACUCUUUGUCUUGCUGAAUUCCUCCUGGGGUGCAGUUAGGUAAUCAUUCCUCCCUAGUAUUGUUUAAAUUUGAAUAUGGAUGCCCUGCAUAUUUGUCAGCUUCACCUUUGACUCUUCAUUAUCUUGAUACUAUAUAUUAUAUUGGCUUGUACCUUAGCACAGGAGCCUUUUAUUCUUCCCCAACCUAUAAGCCUAUGUGUAGAAACUGGUGUUCGAUUGUUAUACGACUGCCACAGUUAGUAUUCCCUCCAAUACUUUUGUGAACCUUCCAAAGCUCUCAUUCAUACUUGUACAGCACCUUGACUGCUAUACCCCAUUGACACCUCUACUCCCUUUGCAGCCUCAUGGUACAUGUACUGUAAUAUCUGGUUAGUGGCUUCUUUCUGUGUACAUUCACAAUGUGUCCCAUCAUAUUGCACCUAUUUUAUCUCAUGCGUGGGGUUUGUUAGAUUUGAUAAAGUGCUAACAUGUACAGUGAAGGCUUCUACUCCUCGUACUGCCCUGAAAUGUUUUUUUCUUAAACAUCUUCACUAACAUUAGGACUAUACUGUUUACUGAUGGUUGAAAUCUGCUAUGGCAUUAGCUUUUCCAUUACUUUUCCUGAUUAAAUCUUUGUGUUGCCUCCCCUCAGUGACAGGUAUUUUUUGCAGCAGAACUUAGUGAAAUUUUUUAUUGCAAAGACAAUUACAAUUCAUGCACCAAUAUUCUUUUUUUUAAUGUGGUAGAGACUUGCAGUGCUCUCAUGGCCCUAGAGUUUUAACCCUUCACAUCUCAUGGUGAUUGAAAUCCAAUAUUGGUUGUACCUAAUCUUUAGCAGAUAUACAGGAGCUAAGUUUUGCUGUAUUCUAAAUACUAAAGAGGCCAUUCAUGUCUGUCCUAACUUCCAGAAGUGAGUUUCUUACUUUGAUAUCUAUCCUAUCAUUAUGACAUUCGCAACUGUUAGAGAGAGAGAGGGUUUACUUCUGAUUUUUUUUCUUAGAAAAUUAUCUACAAUUAAAUGUAACUUAAUCCUGUGACCUUCCUCUUAUCACUAACAGGAAAUGGGAGACAUCUCUGGCUAGGUUGUGUAAUGAUCACAAACACUUUAUGAAAGAGACCUACACCUUGCUGUUAGAACUGCAUUGUCCCGCUGACGGUCGUUCACCUCCUCGUAGAAUGUCCUGAUUUUCAGAAUGAUUGGAAAUCUUAUUUUCCCCAAUGUUCACAAUAAUGCAGACGAUGAGUCACAAUAACGUGGCUGAAGAUCUGAUGACCAAACUGUGUGUCAGAAGAUGGGAGAAACGUCGUUUCUCCAUUUUCUGAUGUGUGGUUUGGUCAUAUCUAUAGCAUUUCACAAGGAGGACCGGACACUUAGACCUAUGAAGUGAUGGGGGGAGUGUUGCCGUUUAUGAUUACUGGAGUGUGGUAGUCCUUUAUCUAUGAUGCUAUAUGUCGUACAAUACUAUAUUGUGAAUGAUAAAUGAUUGAAUGAUAUUUUUAAUUAUAUAUUAUUUUAUACUUGUAUCUCUGCUUAUUUUACUAUCAUACUGUAUUUGUGUUCAUCAUUUGACUUAGGGAGGCAUCAACUCAGAGUGGGGAAAACACAGGGUAUUGAUAAUGUAUGUGUAAAAAUAGCAGAAAACAACAAAUAUUUUGCAAUGGAAGGCUAUGAAACUAAUUAAUUAGGAUAAUUAACCCCUGCACUGUGCACCUGUUUUGGGUAAAAAUUUCAUGUUGCAGUUAAGGAUAUUUUUGUUGUUUUUAUAAAUAUUUAAGUAAUGUUAAUGUCUAAAUGUUUCCAAACUCAACCAUUUUCAUUUCAAAUCACAAUGAUGAAAACAUUAACAAACAAAAUAUGGCCUAAUUAAAAAAAAAAUCAUCCAAGCGCCUUAAAGCGCUCUGCGCAGUUAAGUGGCUAAGACAACAUUGUACAGUUCGGUUAUAAUAUGGUAUUCUAGGUUUUUCUGCCAUUGUUUUUUGCUGUAGAGAGCCGAGUAUUAAAAAUGGUACAGUAUGUGCUGUACUUCUAUUUACAAUGCUAUAGCGAAGGUGGAUGCCGUGUGCAAUGCAUCUGAGGUCAUGGGAAAUCAAACAUGGUGGCUACACAUAUAUCAAAUACCUGUUUUUGUGCUUUCUUCUGAAACAUUACAUUUAUAUUAUUCUGUUUCCACACAGUACAGUCCUCAAUGUACCUGUAUUUAAGUAAUACAAGGAAGUACUGUAUAUACAAAUGGUAAUCAUUUGUGUAUGUAGACCUGGUAUUAUUUUACCUAGAGCUAAGGUUGGAGCAAAGUUUGGGAACAAUAGCUAUUUUCUGUACCGUGGAAACAUGAGCAGUGAGAAAAUACCACUAGCCAGGAACAGCAACUGUUAUGCUCUCUGAACACUCAUUAUUUAAGAAACAUUGUCAGUAUUUUCAGGCAUUUGUCAAGGCCUGUGCUAAGAUUAUUAUUUCAAUUCUGUGGAAAUGCAGCUUGAGGUUAUGUGCAGUGUAUAAAAAGAAUUUGAUAGAGCAAUGACUAAACUGUGUACAGUAUUAAGGAAUUAUUGUCACAGUUGGCUCAUUACCAAGAUAUGUUCUGGUGGUACGUAGUUAAUUUUCUGCUGUGUUCAAAAUUAUGACCCAGAAUAAUCACUGAAUAAUACAGAUGUAUAUGUAAUUGUAAUGAUGUACUCUAUAUGUAAUUGUAAUGUUUGUAAGACAAAAUUAUGAAUGUACAGUAUGAAAAAAUACACAAAAAAAAAUAAAAUUGCUUAUACUUAAGACUCCUGACUGAAAUGAUUUACCACAAAAUUUAGUAUAUAUGUAUAUAUUGUAGCAGUUAUUAUUAAGAAACUUUGAGAUGACAUCUUU